UACAGAGGGGGCAAGCGUUGUUCGGAAUUACCGGGCGUAAAGGGCGCGUAGGCGGCCUGUUAAGUCGAACGUGAAAUCCCCGGGCUCAACCCGGGAACUGCGUCCGAUACUGGCAGGCUUGAAUGCAGAAGGGGCAACUGGAAUUCUCGGUGUAGCGGUGAAAUGCGUAGAUAUCGAGAGGAACACCUGCGGCGAAGGCGGGUUGCUGGGCUGACACUGACGCUGAGGCGCGAAAGCUAGGGGAGCGAACGGG
rnacentral:rRNA from 1 species